GGCCAAGCUAUUAAGGGCAAACGGUGGAUGCCUAGGCGUUAAGAGGCGAUGAAAGACGUGGAAAGCUGCGAAAAGCAUCGGGGAGUUGCUAAACAAACUUUGAUCCGGUGAUAUCUGAAUGGGGGAACCCGGCAGGGGUAAUACCCUGUCAUCUAUGACUGAAUACAUAGGUUAUAGAAGCGAACGAGGUGAACUGAAACAUCUUAGUAACCUCAGGAAAAGAAAACAACAGUGAUUUUCAGAGUAGCGGCGAGCGAAAUGGAAAGAGCCCAAACCAAGUAUAUGUUAAAGCCUGUAAGCGUUGUAUAUUUGGGGUUGCGGGGUAUGUCCGGAUUAAAGUUACAGCUUUAUCGGAGAGUUACAAAACCAAUGGAUAGACGAAGCGUCUGGAAAGGCGCUCAAUAUAAGGUGAUAGGCCUGUAGUUGAAAUUCAUUGGUCUUUCUGGGACAUAAACCCAAGUACUGCGGGACACGAGGAAUCCUGUGGGAAUCUGUGAGGACCAUCUCACAAGGCUAAAUACUACUUAACGACCGAUAGUGAACUAGUACCGUGAGGGAAAGGUGAAAAGUACUCCGAUGAGGAGAGUGAAAUAGUACCUGAAACCGUUUGCCUACAAGCAGUGGGAGGGUCAUGUAUGGUUUAGGCCAUACGGCCUGACUGCGUGCCUUUUGCAUAAUGAGUCAGCGAGUUACUUUACGUAGCAAGGUUAAACCGCAAGAGGUGUAGCCGGAGCGAAAGCGAGUUUUAACAGAGCGUAUUAGUUGCGUGGAGUAGACCCGAAACCAAGUGAUCUAUCCAUGGUCAGAGUGAAGCGCAAGUAAAAUUGCGUGGAGGCUCGAACCGUUGUAUGUUGAAAAAUACUCGGAUGAACUGUGGAUAGGGGUGAAAGACCAAACAAACUUGGAAAUAGCUGGUUCUCCCCGAAAUAUAUUUAGGUAUAGCCUUACGAGAUGAUGGAUGGGGGUAGAGCACUGGAUGGGCUAGGGGUCCUACCAGAUUACCAAACCUAACCAAACUCCGAAUACCAUCUUAUUUAUCGUAGGAGUCAGACUGCGGGAGCUAAGUUUCGUAGUCGAGAGGGAAACAGCCCAGACCGUCAGCUAAGGUCCCCAAAUUUGUGCUAAGUGGGAAAGGAUGUGGGAGUGCACAGACAGCCAGGAUGUUGGCUUAGAAGCAGCCAUCAUUUAAAGAAAGCGUAAUAGCUCACUGGUCGAGUGAACCUGCGCCGAAAAUGUAACGGGGCUCAAGCACAAUACCGAAGCUACGGGAUAUCAGUCAAAUGAUAUCGGUAGGGGAGCAUUCUGUACGGGUUGAAGGUUUACCGUAAGGAGAGCUGCACUGUACAGAAGAGACCAUGCUGACAUGAGUAACGAUAAAGCGGGUGAAAAACCCGCUCGCCGAAAACCUAAGGAUUCCUGGGUAAAGCUAGUCUUCCCAGGGUUAGUCGAUCCCUAAGCCGAGGCCGCGAGGCGUAGGUGAUGGAAAACAGGUUAAUAUUCCUGUACCACCGAGGUAUCGUUUGAGUGAAGGGGGGAAGCAGGAGGGUAGGUCAUCCAUCUGAUGGAAUAGGUGGUUCAAGCAAGUAGGCAAAAAGCGACAGGAAAAUCCGCGCUUUUAUUUAAAUGCCGAGAUGUGAUGAGGAUCUGCGCAAGCAGAAUAAACUGACUGAUCCCAUGCUGCCAAGAAAAUCCUCUAAACGAGAUAUCGAGGUGAUCGUACCGAAAACCGACACAGGUAGGUGGGGAGAGAAUCCCAAGGCGCUUGAGAGAACCCUGGUUAAGGAACUCGGCAAAAUAACACCGUAACUUAGGGAAAAGGUGUGCCCAGGAAGGUGAAGUAAUUUACUUACGGAGCCUGAGAGGGCCGCAGAGAAAUGGCGGUAGCGACUGUUUACUAAAAACACAGGACUCUGCUAAGUCGCAAGACGAUGUAUAGGGUCUGACGCCUGCCCGGUGCUGGAAGGUUAAGGGGAGAUGUAAGCCGCAAGGCGAAGCAUUGAACCGAAGCCCCAGUAAACGGCGGCCGUAACUAUAACGGUCCUAAGGUAGCGAAAUUCCUUGUCGGGUAAGUUCCGACCUGCACGAAUGGCGUAACGACUGCCCCGCUGUCUCGACCAGGGACUCGGU
rnacentral:rRNA from 1 species